rnacentral:rRNA from 1 species
CCUACGGGAGGCAGCAGUAGGGAAUCUUUCACAAUGGGCGAAAGCCUGAUGGAGCAACGCCGCGUGCAGGAUGAAGGCCUUCGGGUUGUAAACUGCUUUUAUAAGCGAGAAAUAUGAUGGUAACUUAUGAAUAAGGAUCGGCUAACUACGUGCCAGCAGCCGCGGUCAUACGUAGGAUCCGAGCAUUAUCCGGAGUGACUGGGUGUAAAGAGUUGCGUAGGUGGCAUAAUAAGUAGCUAGUGAAAUCUGGUGGCUCAACCAUUCAGACUAUUAGCUAAACUGUUAAGCUCGAGACCGUUAGGUGUAACUGGAAUUUCUAGUGUAGGAGUGAAAUCCGUAGAUAUUAGAAGGAACACCAAUAGCGUAGGCAGGUUGCUGGGACGGUUCUGACACUAAGGCACGAAAGCGUAGGGAGCAAACGGGAUUAGAUAUCCUUGUAGUC